AGGUAACCACUAUUAGAGCCUGGUGUGUAUCUUUCAGAGGAUAGUUUCUUUGUGAUUGUGAGUAGCUUAGCUGUUGAGCAAGCCAUUGGAUACGAGACUAACCUUACAGAAAGGUCAAUCCUGGAUGGGUAGGAUGUCAUCAACAUAUGAGGCAUGGUUAAAAACCAUGAAUGUGGAUGAGAUCCUCCUGGAGGAUCACAUAAAGAGGUCAGUGCACUGUGACCUGACUUACGGGGAUUACUAUAUGGAAGCUGCAUACAAAGAUCAGAGGUCCAGCAGGGAAAGGGGGGACAAUGAGUCUUGGGUGGAAAUUCUGACAACACAGGAUUAAAACACCGAGGAUGUGCCUUUACAUCGAGAAAGUGCUGAAUAAACAUCCUGAAGGAGUGGAAAUGAACAGUGUCCUGUAACCCUCAGGUGAGACUAGAGUCAGAAUGCAGGCUUUUCUCAUUUGAAAUCUAUAUGCCACAGAGAGGAUCCAGAGAGCCCAUCUUCAGUCAGUUAUCUGUAUUUGCAUGUCAACUACAGCAUCAAGAAGCAUAGGCAUGGAUACUAAGGACCCCCUCUGUACACCAAAGCCAGUCCAAAGGACAGUGUGUCACUGUGAACUGUAAAUUCAUCUCUCUUCUUCAUCUUUUUUCUACCUACUUUAUGCUUUAUCUCUAAGUUGAGGCUGUUUAUGGCCUCAUCCUCAAUUACCUUGUCCCUC
rnacentral:lncRNA from 1 species